GAUUCAAAGGCCCUAGGAAAAUGUCUGUGAUCAUUCCAGGGAUGAAUAUGAAUCACGAACGGAUCCCAUUUCAGCCACGAAAUAACCCCAAACUGGAGUAUGGCUGAGACUCUUCCUGAGGGGCGCCAUCACUCCGAAACCUCAGGAUGAGUGCAGCUGCAGAGCUGUUGCUGAAGUGUUGACUUGAGUCCGCUUCAUCUGCAGAGAGAAAUGCGGGGCAGUGCAUAAGAAUAAAAAAGCCGGGCU